rnacentral:RNase_P_RNA from 1 species
AAGCAUAAAAAGAUGACUGCUUGAAAAACCUUCAAGAGGAAAGUCCGAGCUGCAGUGAGACACGAUUCCAUCUAACGGAUGGCCAUUGUAAAAUGAGAGCAAGUGCAACAGAAAACAGACCGCCAUUUCAUUAUGGUAAGGGUGAAACGGUGUGGUAAGAGCAUACCAGAGUUUUGAGCAAUCAAAACUGCUUUGUAAACCUAAUCGGCAGCAAGAAGGGGUGGUUAUUGUCUCACACUACUACCCUUCGCUAUAACCGCAAAGUGAUUUGACGAGUUUAGAUAAAUAGUCAUCCUCGACAGAACUCGGCUUAUUUUUAUGCUUACUU